rnacentral:rRNA from 1 species
AGCGAACGCUGGCGGCAGGCCUAACACAUGCAAGUCGAACGGAUCCUUCGGGAUUAGUGGCGGACGGGUGAGUAACACGUGGGAACGUGCCCUUUGGUUCGGAACAACUCAGGGAAACUUGAGCUAAUACCGGAUGUGCCCUUCGGGGGAAAGAUUUAUCGCCAUUGGAGCGGCCCGCGUCUGAUUCGCUAGUUGGUGAGGUAAAGGCUCACCAAGGCGACGAUCAGUAGCUGGUCUGAGAGGAUGAUCAGCCACAUUGGGACUGAGACACGGCACAAACUCCUACGGGAGGCAGCAGUGGGGAAUCUUGCGCAAUGGGCGAAAGCCUGACGCAGCCAUGCCGCGUGAAUGAUGAAGGUCUUAGGAUUGUAAAAUUCUUUCACCGGGGACGAUAAUGACGGUACCCGGAGAAGAAGCCCCGGCUAACUUCGUGCCAGCCGCCGCCGUAAAAC